rnacentral:lncRNA from 1 species
UGGAAGUUGGUGGUGGAGCCAAGACUUGAACCCAGGGCAGGAGACUCCCAGGCCAGGGGCUUUCCCCGGUCACCCUCCAGGCUGUGACUAGGCUCUAGCCAAUCCCCAGAAGCCACUGACCCCAAAAGCAGCGGUGCCUGGAAGUGGGGUGACUCACUGUCUGGCUUCCCAGGGCACCCCCUCCCCAUUGGUGUGGGCUGGGCCUGGACAGCUGUGGCACUGUGGCACCAGAAUGGGGCUUAGGGAGGGGUGACCCAAGGGGCCGGUUUCCCCUCCCCUGAGCCCGGGGGCUGGAAGGCCCUCCGAAGCGCAGUGUCUCUGGGCUUCCUCCCCAGCCGCAGGCUGGCCCCACCUUCCCUCCAGGAUGCCAGGACACGCAGGAUGGCGGCCUACUACCCAGGGUGCCAGCCUCCCAGAACCAUGGCCCAGGCCCUUUCCAUGGCCCAGACCAAGCCCAGGCCUUGGCCAGGUCCCCAGCCGGCCUGGCUGCCCCGUCAGUGUCAAGCGUUCCCUCCAGAGCCAAGAUCCUGGGCUGUGAUGGCUGGGGGCCCAGGGCCCCUCCCAGCAUCCCUUCCAGCUUCCCAGGCCCCAGGGCAGGGCUGGGCAACUCCUUGAAACCAUUGCUUCCCGGCCACCCUCUGGCCAGGCUGGGCGGGCCCUCCUGGACAGGCAGACAGGCUGCACGCUGCCCUGCUGUGGCCCGAGUACCCUGCUGGGCAGGGCAGCAUGCCAAGGCCUCCAGGUGCCAGCCUGGAUUCCAGCCCCAUCCCAGGGGGC